GAAUGGGGUAGAUAGCAGCUGUCUUCAUCACUGUCAUCAUUGUUGGCUCACAUCAAAUCAGGACCAGAAAACCCUGUUGACUUCUGGGUCUUAAACUGCUGUAUCAGUGAGGGGCUUCCUCCUCAUACUCAUUGCCAGGAGUAGAGUAAGGCUUUUAAUUUCAUCUCUAACCAACUCUGAUAGGGCUGGAAAUGUGUAUGGAGUUCCAGACCCACCAUGGGGCCCCAGUGCUAGCUUCUUAGCCCUCCUUUGUAAGGUUUGCACUAGUUUGAUGGGAGAGGGAUUUUUUUUGUCUUGAUUCUGAAGCUCUUAAAGAAAUGCUCCUUUUUCUCCAUAACUUGAGGAUUUCACAAUUGUAUUGGAAUUAUUGGUGUUAAGGAGUUAGGUCCAUCUCUUGGCAGCUUGUGAAGGGUGGGCAGGCACCUGUGAAUUCUUCACUGGCUUCUUGUAAGAAUGACUUUACUGGAGGGUGCUGAGUUUGUGAUUAUCUCCUCUGCUGCUAGAAAACUCCGUGAACCCUGGUACAUAUAGCGUGAUAAAUCAAGUCCUGUUUUUGCUCCUAACUUGCAUUAUGGUGUUUGAUACUAUAUCUUCAUUUCUCCCAUGGUAGUAAUAACACUGUUGGAAAGAGCUCUCAGUUGGAAGUUGAAGAUCCAGGUUCUAGUUGAGGCACCAGAGUUUCCUUGGGCAAGUUGCCAUACCUUUUUGGGCCUUGGUUUCCUCAUCUCAAUAAAAUGAGUUUCUGUUC
rnacentral:lncRNA from 1 species